GAAUUGCCUUUGAUACUGUCCAUCUUGAGUCCAGCUGAAGUAGGCGGAAUGUAGUAUGUAGCGGUGAAAUGCUUAGAUAUACUACAGAACACCCAUUGCGAAGGCAGCUUACUAAACUGGUACUGACGCUCAGGCACGAAAGCGUGGGGAGCAAACGGGAUUAGAUACCCUGGAUAGUCCACGCCCGUAAACGUUGAUCACUCGUUGUUGGCAAUACACCGUCAGCAACCCAGCUAACGCCGUAAGUGAUCCACCUGGGGAGUACGAUCGCAAGGUUGAAACUCAAAGGAAUUGACGGGGGCCCGCACAAGCGGAGGAGCAUGUGGUUUAAUUCGAUGAUACGCGAGGAACCUUACCUGGGCUUAAAUGUAGUGUGCAUAGGCGUGAAAACG
rnacentral:rRNA from 1 species